AUGGCGUCGUCUGCUUCCGCUCGGCCGUCUGCGUCCUUCUACUGCUCGUCGAGCGCGAGCGCCGACGCGGCGGGGCGGGGCUUGCUCGGCCCGUUCGGGCUACUCGUGCUGGUCAACGACGGCCUAUCGGAGCAGACCGCUGUUUACUUCUACCUGGUCAAGGGUGCGGACGGGAAGCUCAACACUCACUUCUGCCAAGACGCCUUCAGGUCAUUGAAGGCGAACAUUCUCAUCAAGGCCGUUUACGGCAGCUUCGUCCCUGUACUUGAUGGAGAAAAUCUGCAAGCACGCCCCGAUGCUCCCCUCGGUCUGGGCACCCGAUGCCAGGCAGGCUGUGGAUGCCCCAGACCUCAAGGCCGGCCGUGCUACUCCAGCUGCUCCUGCCCCGGCCAUGCUCAACUUCGCUCCUGGUCAGUUGCCUUUUACUGA
rnacentral:rRNA from 1 species